GGACCCCGAUCCUCCCACCCUUUGUGUACCUACCUCUGUUGCUUUGGCGGGCCGCGGUCCUCCGCGGCCGCCCCCCUCCCCGGGGGGUGGCCAGCGCCCGCCAGAGGACCAUCAAACUCCAGUCAGUAAACGAUGCAGUCUGAAAAACAUUUAAUAAACUAAAACUUUCAACAACGGAUCUCUUGGUUCUGGCAUCGAUGAAGAACGCAGCGAAAUGCGAUAAGUAAUGUGAAUUGCAGAAUUCAGUGAAUCAUCGAAUCUUUGAACGCACAUUGCGCCCUUUGGUAUUCCGAAGGGCAUGCCUGUUCGAGCGUCAUUACAACCCUCAAGCUCUGCUUGGUAUUGGGCACCGUCCUUUGCGGGCGCGCCUCAAAGACCUCGGCGGUGGCGUCUUGCCUCAAGCGUAGUAGAACAUACAUCUCGCUUCGGAGCGCAGGGCGUCGCCCGCCGGACGAACCUUCUGAACUUUUCUCAAGGUUGACCUCGGAUCAGGUAGGGAUACCCGCUGAACUUAAGCAUAUCAAUAAGCGGAGGAA
rnacentral:rRNA from 1 species